ensembl:lncRNA
CACACACACGGCUCCUUCAUAAGCUCAUUCUGCCAAGUCCUCCCUCUGCAAAUUACAUCUCUGAUGGGUCCUUUUGCUGCGGACAAACCCAUUAAAAAGACCAUCCAGCAUUUUCCUUCUUUUGACACAAGCGUAUUACAGUAUGUCAUCUUGUGUCUGCACACAAGGUGGAGAUGACUAUCUGGCUGCAUUUGUCACGGUUAUCCUGUGAUGAGUUGUCACUUGAAGGUCAUUUUAAUGUCCGUUCCAUUAGAGGCAUGUCACUGACGGAAGGUGGUCACAAAUCUGUCUGUCUCAAGAAAUCUGUAGGUCAACAGGAAUGGGGUUAACUGCACAUAUGGAUCAUUUUCCAGGUUUUGUCAUCGUGUUUUCGUUCCAUUUGUUUGCUUGUGUCUGUUACUGGGCUCUGAGCUCCAGCCUCUCCUUUUCUGCUCUUUGUUCUCUUUUCCGUGCUGCUCCCUGCUUGUAGCCCAUGUGUUUGUGUUGCUCUGUUGAAACUGAAGAAGUAUUUGGCCUCACUGUCUUGUUCACUAAUUGGAAGAGUCUUGUUUUCCCCAGAACUGGAAACUAUGAUUGUUGUAUGUUUUCUGGCACCGGUUCUGUGUCACCAGAAAGAGAAAUUCAGUGACUGAAACUCCCCUGCAUCCGAGAUAAAUCCUCUGAAUUGUCCUGCAGACCCUCAGGGAAGAGGAGUGCAUCUCUCUUGCUCUGUGCUCUUCAGUCUGCACAAGUAUCAUCUUUCAAUCUAGGCAAGAGUGAGACAAUUUCAGGCAUCUUCCAUCAGCAUUCAUCAUGGGAAAGCUUUGCACUUCGUAUGGACCGAGGAAUCACAGCAAGGUGAGUUCAGCUUAGAAAGACCAUUCCUUUACAACAGGAAAUAGAGUGCUUUUGUGUAGCUGCCUUCACUGAAACGUCAGAACCUCUGAAGUGAAG